rnacentral:rRNA from 1 species
ACGGGAGGCAGCAGUGGGGAAUAUUGGGCAAUGGGGGAAACCCUGACCCAGCAACGCCGCGUGAAGGAAGAAGGCUUUCGGGUUGUAAACUUCUUUUACCAGGGACGAAGGACGUGACGGUACCUGGAGAAAAAGCCACGGCUAACUACGUGCCAGCAGCCGCGGUAAUACGUAGGGAGCGAGCGUUAUCCGGAUUUAUUGGGUGUAAAGGGCGCGUAGGCGGGGAUGCAAGUCAGAUGUGAAAUCCAUGGGCUUAACCCAUGAACUGCAUUUGAAACUGUAUCUCUUGAGUGUCGGAGAGGUAGACGGAAUUCCUAGUGUAGCGGUGAAAUGCGUAGAUAUUAGGAGGAACACCAGUGGCGAAGGCGGUCUACUGGACGAUAACUGACGCUGAGGCGCGAAAGCGUGGGGAGCAAACAGGAUUAGAUACCCUGGUA